UAGAGUUUGAUCAUGGCUCAGGAUGAACGCUAGCGACAGGCUUAACACAUGCAAGUCGAGGGGCAGCGGGGGCGGAAGCUUGCUUUCGCCCGCCGGCGACCGGCGCACGGGUGAGUAACACGUAUGCAACCUGGCCGCCACAGGGGGAUAACCCGCGGAAACGCGGCCUAAUACCCCGUGACGCCACCGGAGGGCAUCCUCCGGUGGCCAAAGGAGCGAUCCGGUGGCGGAUGGGCAUGCGGCGCAUUAGCUAGACGGCGGGGUGACGGCCCACCGUGGCGACGAUGCGUAGGGGUUCUGAGAGGAAGGCCCCCCACACUGGGACUGAGACACGGCCCAGACUCCUACGGGAGGCAGCAGUGAGGAAUAUUGGUCAAUGGGCGGAAGCCUGAACCAGCCAAGUCGCGUGAGGGAUUAAGGCCCUGCGGGUCGUAAACCUCUUUUGCCGGGGAGCAGUGGUCCGGACGCGUCCGGACCGGGAGAGUACCCGGAGAAAAAGCAUCGGCUAACUCCGUGCCAGCAGCCGCGGUAAUACGGAGGAUGCGAGCGUUAUCCGGAUUUAUUGGGUUUAAAGGGUGCGUAGGCGGGCAUUUAAGCCGGCGGUCAAAUGUCGGGGCUCAACCCCGGCCUGCCGUCGGAACUGGGUGCCUUGAGUGGGCGAGAAGUAUGCGGAAUGCGUGGUGUAGCGGUGAAAUGCAUAGAUAUCACGCAGAACCCCGAUUGCGAAGGCAGCAUACCGGCGCCCUACUGACGCUGAGGCACGAAAGUGCGGGUAUCGAACAGGAUUAGAUACCCUGGUAGUCCGCACAGUAAACGAUGGAUGCUAUCUGUCCGGGCCGAAUGAGGCCUGGGUGGCACAGCGAAAGCGUUAAGCAUCCCACCUGGGGAGUACGCCGGCAACGGUGAAACUCAAAGGAAUUGACGGGGGCCCGCACAAGCGGAGGAACAUGUGGUUUAAUUCGAUGAUACGCGAGGAACCUUACCCGGGCUCAAACGCCUGACGAACAUGGCCUGAAAGGGCCUUGGCCAGCAAUGGCGUCAGGCGAGGUGCUGCAUGGUUGUCGUCAGCUCGUGCCGUGAGGUGUCGGCUUAAGUGCCAUAACGAGCGCAACCCCCACCGGCAGUUGCUAACCGACGCAAGUCGGAGGACUCUGCCGGGACUGCCGGCGCAAGCUGCGAGGAAGGCGGGGAUGACGUCAAAUCAGCACGGCCCUUACGUCCGGGGCGACACACGUGUUACAAUGGCAGGUACAGCGGGAAGCCACCCGGCGACGGGGCGCGGAACCUGAAAACCUGUCUCAGUUCGGAUCGGAGUCUGCAACCCGACUCCGUGAAGCUGGAUUCGCUAGUAAUCGCGCAUCAGCCAUGGCGCGGUGAAUACGUUCCCGGGCCUUGUACACACCGCCCGUCAAGCCAUGGGAGCCGGGGGUGCCUGAAGGCCGUGACCGCGAGGAGCGGCCUAGGGUAAAACCGGUGACUGGGGCUAAGUCGUAACAAGGUAACCGUAA
rnacentral:rRNA from 1 species